rnacentral:lncRNA from 1 species
AGCGGGCCUCGAUUGCAAGCUGUGUGUAUGCUACGCUGCACUGGUUGGGAACCGCAGGCGCUUAACCGCUCGACGGGGUUGUUAGGGUCUUCAACCGAAUUUGUUGGAGAAUUAGCCGGGUGCGGACUCCGCCCACAGGGGCAUAAAACCCCAGCAUCGUUACCAGCCCAUCCUCUCCAUGUGCUGAGACGGAACAAGCUUGGCACCCCGAGAGCCAUCGAACACAUCGAGAGGAAUAGAGAGAAAGGAGACAGCGCCACCGUCGCUCUCUGCCCGCCGCCGUGGUUUCCCUCUGUGCCACCGUCCUGAUUCCAGUGGAAGUGCAAUUGGGGUUCGCGGGAGCGCGCUGAUCAUCUGCGGCAAGCCUCUGGGCGUCGUCGUCGGUCCGCAUCUCAUUGCGGGCAACACCAGCAUCGCUAUGGUGUCGGUAAGGGUGCCCUCGAUCGUCUCUUUAUGCCAUCCGCAUCGAUUAUCUCGUAGCCAAGUCUAUAUCCGAGUAGCUAGAUGUGGGGCGGGGGGUCGGUCGCCGAUGUGGCCUCGCUGCGGCUGACGUCCGCUGUGAACGGGGGUGCGGCGCUGCCAUAUCUGGCGCUUGUGGGGGUUGGAGGUAGAAGAUAGGUUCCUGACCGUCAAUCUGAAUAUGAACGGAUCCGAUUAGAAAUUCUGGUGCAUAUGCGGUCUUGGGAUCUGACCGUCGGAUUUCGGAUCGGUGGUCUGAAUUAGAUUGGCGCAUACCAGUUCGGGAUCUAAUCCCAACCACAGAUCGCGCGAUGUGGGGUCUGGGUUGUCUGCACGUUAUAACAGCCACACUUGUUUUGCAUAAGAGCCCUCCUAAAAUUAGCAAACCAACCCGCCGUCCACCCAGGUACUAAAGAAUCACAUAUUAGUCCCUAGAAUUUAUAAUUUAGACCCUAGACUUUUCUGAAAUAGUGGCCCCUGUCCAGAAGAUGAAUUAAAUAAUUAUAUUAAUAUAGAAAAUAGGUUUUUAGUAUAAAAAUAAAUCUAGAAACUUGUUUAAUUCAUAUUUAGUUUAUUCUAACUCCUAUUUAACCCAUUCCAGUUGCAAUAAUCUUGUAUUAAUAUUAUCUAUCAACUAGUAACACUGUUUAUCCAUGAAACUUGAAUUAAAAUUGUUCAUUAGGAUUAAUCUAUUCUAAGCACUAAAUAAUUCCGGAAAUUCAUAACUUAAUAAUCGUAGCUCCGAAUUUAGUGGUUCUUGUUUCCACGAUCUCGUAGCAACGCGUAGAUUAUUAUUACACAGUUUAUUCUUAUGUAUGGUGUGAUGUUAAUUUUGCAUAUACCAUGUUUGUCUGUAUUGCUACGACUAGCGUGAGGUUACGAGUCACCUGAAGAUCAUCCUGGUACCUGGAAUCUCAAGUCUCAGGCAAGUUGUGCCCUUGAUCACUUCUUUUUACCCAGCCAUGUUCUGAUUAAUCAUAAUGAUCUGCAUAGGUUAAUUUUGAUGGGACCCAAUAGGUUACCCUAGUUUGAUUAUCUUUAUACCUUGUUACCACUGAACUUUUUGGGUAGUACUUGCUAGUGCUUUAUGUGGUUUUGGGUAUGAAGAUACAUUACUCAUGAUUAUACUUUUGUUAUCCGUUGUUAUUUAUCGUUCAUGAUAAGAUCAUUAUGUUAAUUGGAACAUGGAGCGACCACCCGGGAAAACAGUGCUACCACAAGGGUAUAAUGGGACGCCCUUGGCUGAUUAAUUAGGAAAGCUAGUGGAGGACUACCUUACCCGAAAGGGGCAAGGGCAGUAGGGGAGUGGUCAGUGUAGGGAGGCCCUCGGGAGGAUUUUGCUGCGAUGGCGGUCCUGCAAGGGAUUCCUGCAUUGGAGCUUCCUAUAAACUGUAGCGGGUUUUCUGAAGCUAGUGGAACUUUGUAAAGGCCUCGUAGUGUUACCCUGCCUCGCCUCCUCGGUAGAGGUGUAUGGGAAGUCGCGAUCCCUUGGCAGAUGGGUAACAUGACUUGUGGGUAAAGAUGCGCAACCUCUGCAGAGUGUAAAACUGGUAUACUAGCCGUGCUCACGGUCAUGAGCAGCUCGGACCCUCACAUGAUUAAUUUAUGGAACUAAAUUCAAUUUGUCAUAUGCAUUGCAUCGCAGGUGAUGUUGUUACUUCUGUUCUACUAUUUAAUUGGGUUGGUAUUUACUUAUACUUAGUAAUUGCUAAUAAAAUUUUGACCAACUUUAAAAGCAAUGCUCAGCUCUAACCAUCCUCUUUGGUAAGCCUUACACUUCACGUGAGCUCCCACCUUUGGCGAGUUCAUGCACAUUAUUCCCCACAACUUGUUGAGCGAUGAACGUAUGUGAGCUCACUCUUGCUGUCUCACACCCCCCCCACAGGUCAAGAACAGGUACCACAGGAUGAGGCGCUUGGAGGAUGCUGCGAUGUGUUCGUGAGAGGUCUAGGCCGUCGUCUCCCAGUCAACUUUGGGUUGCUGGACCGUUGUCUCCUUAUAAUGUAAUUAUUUAUUUUGUACAGAGUUCCUAUUAUGUAGUAAAGAUGUGACAUUCGA